AUUUUUAUUUUUAUUUUUAAUUUUAUGGAUUAGUGAGAAAAUGAUGUUUCGAAAUUGGAACAUCUUCCAACAUUGAAUUUUGAACCAAGGGCUUAAUAGCUGACACCACAUUCUUAAAACAAAAAAAAUAAAACUAGUUAUACUUCACACAAAACAAAAUUUUAAAAAACCCGUACUAAUAUAUAUAUAUAUAUAUAUAUAUAUUGCCUCAGCCUCUCUUCUUCUUCUUCUGUUAAAAGCUAUAAUAAAACAAAUUACUUCACGACUCACUUUGAAAUUUU
rnacentral:lncRNA from 1 species